rnacentral:rRNA from 1 species
UGGCGGCACGCUUAACACAUGCAAGUCGAACGGACUUGAGAGGCUUGCUCUCUUAAGUUAGUGGCGGACGGGUGAGUAACACGUGAGCAACCUGCCUUUAACGAGUGGGAGUAACGGUCGGAAACGGACCGCUAAUACCGCAUAACAUACACGAACGCAUGGUUUGUGUAUCAAAGAUUUAUCGCUUAAAGAUGGGCUCGCGUCUGAUUAGCUUGUUGGUGAGGUAACGGCUCACCAAGGCGACGAUCAGUAGCCGUACUGAGAGGUAGAACGGCCACAUUGGGACUGAGACACGGCCCAGACUCCUACGGGAGGCAGCAGUGGGGAAUAUUGCACAAUGGAGGAAACUCUGAUGCAGCGAUGCCGCGUGAGGGAAGAAGGUUUUCGGAUUGUAAACCUCUGUCUUAAGGGACGACAAUGACGGUACCUUAGGAGGAAGCUCCGGCUAACUACGUG